rnacentral:rRNA from 1 species
GGGGGAAUAUUGGGCAAUGGGCGAAAGCCUGACCCAGCAACGCCGCGUGAGGGAAGAAGGGUUUCGGCUCGUAAACCUCUGUCCUAUGGGACGAAUGAGAUGACGGUACCAUAGGAGGAAGCCCCGGCUAACUACGUGCCAGCAGCCGCGGUAAUACGGAGGAUGCGAGCGUUAUCCGGAUUUAUUGGGUUUAAAGGGUGCGCAGGCGGCGUGCCAAGUCAGCGGUCAAAGUUCCGGGCUCAACCCGGUGAUGCCGUUGAAACUGGUGUGCUUGAGUGCGUGCGAGGGAGGCGGAAUGCGUUGUGUAGCGGUGAAAUGCAUAGAUAUGACGCAGAACUCCGAUUGCGAAGGCAGCUUUCCAGCACGCCACUGACGCUGAGGCACGAAAGCGUGGGGAUCGAACAGGAUUAGAUACCCUGGUAGU